rnacentral:rRNA from 1 species
GGCGAACGCUGGCGGCGUGCUUAACACAUGCAAGUCGAACGGAAAGGCCCUGCUUUUGUGGGGUGCUCGAGUGGCGAACGGGUGAGUAACACGUGAGUAACCUGCCCUUGACUUUGGGAUAACUUCAGGAAACUGGGGCUAAUACCGGAUAGGAGCUCCUGCUGCAUGGUGGGGGUUGGAAAGUUUCGGCGGUUGGGGAUGGACUCGCGGCUUAUCAGCUUGUUGGUGGGGUAGUGGCUUACCAAGGCUUUGACGGGUAGCCGGCCUGAGAGGGUGACCGGCCACAUUAGGACUAAGAUACGGCCCAGACUCCUACGGGGGGCAGCAGAGGGGAAUAUUGCACAAUGGGCGGAAGCCUGAUGCAGCAACGCCGCGUGCGGGAUGACGGCCUUCGGGUUGUAAACCGCUUUCGCCUGUGACGAAGCGUGAGUGACGGUAAUGGGUAAAGAAGCACCGGCUAACUACGUG